UGGGGAAUAUUGCACAAUGGGCGCAAGCCUGAUGCAGCCAUGCCGCGUGUGUGAAGAAGGCCUUCGGGUUGUAAAGCACUUUCAGCGGGGAGGAAGGCGUUAAGGUUAAUAACCUUGGCGAUUGACGUUACCCGCAGAAGAAGCACCGGCUAACUCCGUGCCAGCAGCCGCGGUAAUACGGAGGGUGCAAGCGUUAAUCGGAAUUACUGGGCGUAAAGCGCACGCAGGCGGUUUGUUAAGUCAGAUGUGAAAUCCUCGGGCUCAACCUGGGAACUGCAUCUGAUACUGGCAAGCUUGAGUCUCGUAGAGGGGGGUAGAAUUCCAGGUGUAGCGGUGAAAUGCGUAGAGAUCUGGAGGAAUACCGGUGGCGAAGGCGGCCCCCUGGACGAAGACUGACGCUCAGGUGCGAAAGCGUGGGGAGCAAACAGG
rnacentral:rRNA from 1 species